CAGCCUCUUCUCUCUUUGCAACAGAAACAGUCUGGUUGGUAACAGGCAAACAUCCAGUAUUGUGGUUUAGGUGCCUGGACCAAAACAAGAGUAUCCCAGCUGCCUGCAGAGGGUUUAGAUUGAGAGUGUGGUUGGGGGUAGAAAGAUACCCACAGAGCUGCACCAAAGAAUAUUGCACAUUCAGGUCCUGGGAGGUCCCUCUUCAGAAUGCUCGUCUCAGCUUCUACCCUUGCCUUGGUGGUCUGUAAUUUAGUGGAAGGCUUAUACCUCAAAAUAAUGGAAAAAAGCAACAUUUUUCUUUCAUUGGACUCCAGCUAACAGUGGGACUACAACAAACUUGAAGAAACUAUCACUAGAGGCAGUCUCCAUGUGAAUAUGGCAAAAAUGCAUACCUUCUGUUCAGCAUUAUACACAGCUACAAAUAGUUAGUCUGGAACUUCUGAGAGUAGAUUGAUCUAUUUGUGAGCAAGAUUUUGAUUUAACUUGAAAUUCUGCAAGCCGAAGAAUAAAUUUAUCCUUCCUGUGAAGCUUCA
rnacentral:lncRNA from 1 species